rnacentral:rRNA from 1 species
CCUACGGGUGGCAGCAGUGGGGAAUAUUGCACAAUGGGGGAAACCCUGAUCCAGCGACGCCGCGUGAGUGAAGAAGUAUUUCGUUAUGUAAAGCUCUAUCAGCAGGGAAGAAAAUGACGGUACCUGACUAAGAAGCCCCGGCUAACUACGUGCCAGCAGCCGCGGUACUCCGUAGGGGGCAAGCGUUAUCCUGAUUUACUGGGUGUAAAGGGAGCGUAGACGGUGUGCCAAGUCUGGAGUGAAAAGUCUGAGCUUAACUGCCGAACUGCAUUGGAAACUGGCGAACUGGAGUGCGGGAGGGGUAAGCGGAAUGCCUAGUGUAGCGGUGAAAUGCGUAGAUAUUAGGAGGAACACCGGUGGCGAAGGCGGCUUACUGGACCGUAACUGACGUUGAGGCUCGAAAGCGUGGGGAGCAAACAGGAUUAGAUACCCUUGUAGUC